rnacentral:rRNA from 1 species
GAUGGGGAAAGGAAAGUACACUGGAUCUCAUGGCAAAAAAUGUGUGAAUCAAAAAGAGAUGGAGGACUGGGUUUUCGAGACCCUGAAGCUUUCAAUCAAGCCUUAUUAGCAAAGUAGGCUUGGCGGAUCUUGCAGAACCCUUCUUCCCUAUGCGCUAGGGUCCUCAAGGCCCGGUAUUUCAGCGAGGACACGAUACUUACAGCAACUUGCUCAAGCACGGCGUCUUACACUUUUCGUAGUAUUUUGCACGGGAGAGAC